rnacentral:misc_RNA from 1 species
UCGAAAAGACGGCACCCUUCUUCUUGUCGUUGCGCUGUGUCGGGCAUUAACCUCUCGAACGGCGCACGCACGCUCACAAUAAGCUCUCUCUCUGCUUCGUACGACUGCACCCGUCUGGUUAUUUCCUUAGCUUUCUCUCUCCGGUGGCUGCGACAGUCUCUGUGCAUGGAUGUCCUCCUCCACGUGGUGCAGACCGCAGCGGCCCCACCUGCCUCGGCAUCAUCGUUCUGUUGCGACCGCACUCGGCGCACGAGCCUCAACGUACCUGCCGUCCCGUCGGCAAACAUUAGCAGCACUAGUUUCACUGUGGGGAGUCUGUGGCUCUCACACAGAGAGGCGCUGCUGGGCAGUAACGUUGCUGCCCGGUGGAGCGUCGCUCUCUGCCCCCUUGCGGAGGACGAGAACGCCAACGGCUCCGAUGGUGAUCCGCCGGUGUGUGUGUCUGCCGCCUCCCCGGGAUGCCCUCCAGCGUCACCGUCGUCACCCAUCCCCUCCAGCUUUGUAAGCAUCUCAGCCGCCUCCGUAGACAUAACCGAUCUCCGUGGGCGACGGCCACCCGAUGGCCACGCCACCAACUCCACCGUCAACUUAUUGUGUGAAAAGCUGCGUCAUUUGAAGGACGCGAUCGUAAGGGCAGGCAAUGCCGACACACCGCCGGUAGCACGUGCGGAAACCGUUUUCUUCUGCGGCAGUCGCCUCGGCACGCGCAAAGAUGCCCUCUACCUCACGGCGCUGCAUCGGCUCCUUGUAGAGUCAUUGCUGAUCGUGAAAGGUCGCGCCUUCUCCCCACCAUCGCCGCCGCUGGACGUGGAUGUCUCCCUCGUGGACUACGACGAAGGAUGGGGUGCAGGGGACGUGCUAGCUGCUGAGGUAGUCACGGCCUCCGCGGAUGGCACGCAAGAGCAGAGGAGUCAGAUUGCGUGGAUGCCACUGGCAAACUUACUGGUGUAUGCCCCUCGGCCCAGAAGUACGAUGGCUGCCACAUGCACCUCCACCAUAGCAAGGUCCGCCUCUCCGACGGAACCGAGCGCUGACAGCGACUUGAGCGUCGUUCAGGUGGGGAAUCUUGUGCGACAGCGGUUACAGGUGUGGUUCGACCGCAUUGACAGCGCCACAUCGGCAUUUCCCUCCGCGCCAGCGUCGCCGUCGUCGCCGCCCGCCGCGGCGGAUCGCCUGCGUCAUUUGGACAGGAACGUUGUUCUCUUCACACUGCGACUGCGGAGCUACACGAACUCAUCGACGCCAACCUUGCAGGCACGCGUCAGCGCGGCGUACUUCACGCUUGUGCUGCUACCCGAAUAUGGGGCGGCUCCGCCUUACGGCGAAGCAGGCGCCGCUGGCGCUGCAGAUGGUUUGUCGUCGUGUCGGGCGAGUGCCGCACUCUGGCGCGAAUUUGAGGCACUCUCGGCCUUCAUGCGGUCUCUGCCGCAGGGCCGCCAUCGUCGCGAUGAUGAACACAAGAGAGGCGGCGUCAAAGAGCAUGGCCGUGUCACUGCGGCAGCUGUGCAAGGGAAAAUGCGCGCCGCUGCACUUCGGCGCAGUCGGUGGUUGACCAUCAUCGCCCGCAUCCAUGAUCCUCAGACAUCGCUCAUGAGAACGCGAGUCACAGGCACGGGCGAGCGCGGUGCCGACGACUUUAUGGGUUGCUUUCUGAAAAACUCUACUGUACGUUCGUUUUCGUGGAUCGGGUGCAUCGCCGCCGCUGCUAACCAUCAGCGCGCAACGCGUUCGACUCUCGCCUUUCUCUCUCGCCUCCAGCCAUCGCAGACGGCACAGCGCGGCUGGCUGGCAUCUGUAGAGGAGCGCGCGCCUGAGAGCGCAGCGGACGCACAUGUGGGUAGGCACCAUCGCACACACAAGAACGUCGCGGACAACACGAAAGAAAGGGUUGCACCGAAAGCCGAAGCAGCAUCGAGCAGCUCAGCCACCUCCACGCCACCACACCCCUCUCCUAGGCCCUCUGCGAAUGUGCCGCAACCGUGCGCCUCUCCUCGUCUCCAUGGCGGUAGCACGACGGACAUCAACAGCUCCGGAAAGGUCGGAACGGCUGUUGCAUCUCACCUGCCGCCUGUCGACGAGCUCAGCACUGCUGCGGUUUCUGUAGCUGCUCCGUCACGAGCUGGUCACGCUCGUUGCGGAGCAGACAACGACGACGACGCUUCCUCUGCAGAUGCCGGUCACGAGCCAGCAUCUCCGCCUGCUCAAGUCGAUGCGCUGAUCGCCUCCGUGCGUGUGUACGCGUCGGUGCUGGAGGAGGAGGUGCGGCGGCUGCGUCGCCGGCUCCAACGAUAUGAAGCGCCAUCCUGUGAUUGCAGAGUUAGCACUAGCGAUCCACCCGUCCACUUGACGCUUCAAGAGGUACAGGGAUGCGAGUCGGCGAAUAGAUUGAUCGGUCUCUCCACCCCUCACACCACUUCUCCAGACAUCUGCGAUUCUCUUCCCCAGUCGGUGCGAGCUGCCAUCGACGACCUUCGCACGGACGCGCGGUUCCCGCAGGCGCUCCAUGUAAAGCUCGAUGCCCUGACGCAGCGGCUGGCGAACUUGUGCACAGCCGCCGUCCGGGUGCGGAGAAGCGGCGAUGCCGACGUGCCUACUGCAAUGCAGCAACGAAACGAGAAGAGCGACGACAGGGACGCCUAUGUCGCGCAGCUCGAGGCCAAGGUAGCUCUGUAUGAGCAAAAACUGGUUCUCAUGGAUUACUACGUGGCGCCAACAUUGAUGCAGUGCGUCGAUGACUUGGAUCAGUGGCAGAAGCACCAGCACCGUCAGCAACGCACACGCGCCACUCGCACUGGAGGCAACUCUAAUCCCUUCACCACCGCAGCCAACGCUGCUUCCGAGGUGACACCGAUAAGGAGCGUCGGCGCGGCUGAGCAUGCAUUCCGCGCAUGAGAGGAGGGGGCGGGCCGAUCACUGUGUCGCCUCCCACCUCAGCAACGUGAAAAGAAACGGGAAGACGAAUGCGUAGGCGUGUGUCUGGGUCUGUGUCUGUCUGUGGCAAGCGUGACACAUGGGCAGCGAUCGAGACAUACUGAGCGAAGCAGCGCGCAAGUGCCCUUCCACCACACCACCCCCGCCAGAGCACAACUAGAUAAGAAGGGGCUCGGUCUCCUCCGCCCCACCCCACCCCCUCCUCCUCACCAUCUUCUUGUCAAGAGGUUUCGGUGGGGAAUUCGCUGCAAUGUGCUGGUGCUCCCAUAGAGCAGCGCUGUAGUGCACUCACGCACGGCGGCGUCAGCGCACAAGUGCGAAUGUACAGACGCGCGUAAACCGCACAUAUCUAUCCCUCACUCUCACUCACUUGAUAUGUCGCCCUGCUCCUUCCUCCUCGUUGUCGACACCACCGUCGUCGCGGAAG